UUCUUAUCUUCUUGUUUUCAUUCUUUUUCUUCUUCAUUUCGGCCGAUCACCAAAUUUUGAAAAAAAAUUCGUCGACGAGCUUUUUCUUCGAAUCAAAGCCUCAAAAUCCUUCAUCCCAAGCUCUUGAGUGUGGUGGCGGAGCUUCCUCCCGGGGAAGGAAAUUGCCGACCUGUAAGCGCAUCUAAAAGCGAGACGACGGGUUUAGUCCGCCACUGCAGUGGAGGGGUCCCACGUUCCGGCCUAAUGGGCGGCGCCGUAGUCAACCCUGAGUUUACCCUGGUCAAGAGGUGCACGGAGCCAUUAACAGGGGGGGCCUUUUAUGUGAGAAACCCGGGGUCACCACAUGGGAAUCUCAUUGGCCAACACCAAGGAAGGCAGUAUUGUGAAUUUUAAAAGUCUAAAAACACCUUGGUGGUCCCGUAGCUAGUCGCGGCCACGAUUAGCUUGGGAAUUGUCUGAGGCCUGCCUGUAUUUUUGAGCAAUGCUCAAUGUGUUGAAAAAUGUUACUUACCUGUACUAUUUAUGAAUCAUUGUGUUAUCUGUUAACUUGUUGGAU